rnacentral:piRNA from 1 species
UUNCCAGGUUAGUGAUCCUUCCUCAGAUA